rnacentral:lncRNA from 1 species
ACUGUUAAUCUUCGAUACCGCUUUGUACUUACGAUCUUGUAUCCACUGACUGUCUUGUUAGAUUAACCCAAUAAAUUUCAUUCACUCCGCAUACUCAAUCCUAUAGACACCCUUUUAAUUCUCUAAUCACAGACGUAACUCCGAUUUCACAAAACAGUCAAGAGUGAUCACACCCACUUCAUUAAAAAUCCCGAUUCACCAUUACAACACUGACUUCAGCAACGAUUGCCUCAGUCUUCCCAAAACCCUAUGAAGAAGAAAAAUCCAAUUCUCUGUCUUUUCUUCCCCGACCACGAAGCAUGAAGCUAGCUCUCUCCAAUCCUGAUCUUCAAAAAACCUCCCCAAAAAACUUCUUCCCCCCCUA